AUGCUGAUGGCACAUGUGUACGGCUUGAGGUGGAGAUCAUCUAGGCAAACCAAUGGGGUGGCCACACUUGGAGCGGGUUUGAUUGUUGCUGACACCUCCACAGCGAUAGAGAUGAGAGUUGUAGCAUUGUCCCCUCGUGGGCUCGUGGUCGAGCAGGUGGUAGCUGAUGCGUCGACGGAUUCCAUAGGCAUUGUAGAGGGGAUCUGUGUAGAUGUCGACGCACGCACAGAGGCCAUGGCCGAACCAUUAUUGGAGACAGCAUCGUGCGUGAGGGAGUUCACCGUGGUUGAGUGGUCGCCCGAGAUGCCCAACAUGGGGGUUGGACUCAAGGCCACGGCCGCUGGCUCGAGGUCGAAGCAACCGCGCUCAGGGACGACACCGAUGGUGACCUUGGACGAAGCUAAUGUUGAGGCAGGAGUGGGCGCAGACACUGACAUGGUGAUGGCGCAGCUUGGGCAUUGCAUCGAACAUGUUGCGUGCGACGUGGUAGUGAGGUCAACGCCGUCAGGUGCGGCCAUGCCCAGGUCGUUGCCGAGCCGUAGAGUGGCCCCGCGGUUGAUGGAGGUCUUGGUGGUGGUCGCAGCAGGCAUGAGAGAAGCGAUGUUGUCGACACUGUGGAAGCCCACCGCUCAAGCAUGGCACACAUCUCCUUGA
rnacentral:rRNA from 1 species